rnacentral:rRNA from 1 species
GAUGAACGCUGGCGGCGUGCCUAAUACAUGCAAGUCGAGCGAAUCUUUAAAAGCUUGCUUUUGAAGAUUAGCGGCGGACGGGUGAGUAACACGUGGGCAACCUACCUGUAAGACUGGGAUAACUUCGGGAAACCGGAGCUAAUACCGGAUAAUCUGUUCCCUCGCAUGAGGGAAUGCUGAAAGACGGCGCAAGCUGUCACUUACAGAUGGGCCCGCGGCGCAUUAGCUAGUUGGUGAGGUAACGGCUCACCAAGGCGACGAUGCGUAGCCGACCUGAGAGGGUGAUCGGCCACACUGGGACUGGGACACGGCCCAGACUCCGACGGGAGGCAGCAGUAGGGAAUCUUCCGCAAUGGACGAAAGUCUGACGGAGCAACGCCGCGUGAGCGAAGAAGGCCUUCGGGUCGUAAAGCUCUGUUGUUAGGGAAGAACAAGUAUCGGAGUAACUGCCGGUACCUUGACGGUACCUAACCAGAAAGCCACGGCUAACUACGUGCCAGCAGCCGCCGUAAGAC